GAUGAACGCUGGCGGCGUGCUUAACACAUGCAAGUCGAACGAGAAGUGAAGACGGAAACCUUCGGGCGGAAGGCUUUAUUUCGAGUGGCGGACGGGUGAGUAACGCGUGGGUAACCUGCCUCAUACAGGGGGAUAACAGUUGGAAACGACUGUUAAUACCGCAUAAGAUCACAGCACCGCAUGGUGCGGGGGUAAAAACUCCGGUGGUAUGAGAUGGACCCGCGUUCGAUUAGCCAGUUGGCGGGGUAACGGCCCACCAAAGCGACGAUCGAUAGCCGAUCUGAGAGGAUGACCGGCCACAUUGGGACUGAGACACGGCCCAAACUCCUACGGGAGGCAGCAGUGGGGAAUAUUGCACAAUGGGGGAAACCCUGAUGCAGCGACGCCGCGUGAGUGAAGAAGUAUUUCGGUAUGUAAAGCUCUAUCAGCAGGGAAGAAAAUGACGGUACCUGAGUAAGAAGCCCCGGCUAACUACGUG
rnacentral:rRNA from 1 species